rnacentral:rRNA from 1 species
CCUACGGGUGGCAGCAGUGGGGAAUAUUGGGCAAUGGGCGCAAGCCUGACCCAGCAACGCCGCGUGAAGGAAGAAGGCUUUCGGGUUGUAAACUUCUUUUCUCAGGGACGAAGCAUGUGACGGUACCUGAGGAAUAAGCCACGGCUAACUACGUGCCAGCAGCCUCGGGAAUACGUAGGUGGCAAGCGUUAUCCGGAUUUACUGGGUGUAAAGGGAGAGUAGGCGGGAAAGCAAGUCAGAUGUGAAAACCAUGGGCUCAACCGGUGGUCUGCAUUUGAAACUGUUUUUCUUGAGUACUGGGGAGGUAGACGGAAUUCCUGGUGUAGCGGUGAAAUGCGUAGAUAUUAGGAGGAACACCGGUGGCGAAGGCGGUCUGCUGAACAGCAACUGACGCUGAGGCGCGAAAGCGUGGGGAGCAAACAGGAUUAGAUACCCGAGUAGUC